rnacentral:lncRNA from 1 species
ACUCACCCUGGAGCCUUUCCCAAGCACACAUCGUGGACCCCUCCAGGGCUGCACAUGUGCUUUGUAAGGGCUCUUCAGGUGACUGGAGCUUUAAGAGCUACUGAACUAAGUGGUAAUAAAAGUGAACAAAGUAACCAGUCUGGAAAUGUCAGUAGAAUGGAAAGAAAGAACAGGUGGGAGAGUUCUCCAUUUUUUCACGGUGGGAAGUGAGUGAUGACCCUGAAGUGAGGACUCAUCUCUAGAUCUCCAAGGGCUGCAGCUCAGCCAGCACUUUACAAGGGUGAUCUGGAGCCAAACUGGCCUGUUGGCUGACCAUAGGUGACUCUGGGUAGCCCAUACCCAGGCUCAGCAGCAGUUGGGGAGCUGCCUCGAUUUCUGGUUACAGAAUUCCUGGAACUGAGUCACUGCAGUAAUUGCUGUGAUGAAUUGUGUUUACUUUGUGUGGGAUUCCAAACUGUAGCAGCAGUGACUACAGCUGGAAGACAGCAUGAUCAGCAGCUUCCAAGGCAGAGCCUGGCGUCAGAAAGCUGCAUUGCGCUAAUGCUGAAGCCUGUGGGAGCCUGUUGGAGAGACACUUGGAUGUUUAGCGAGCUGGUGACUCUCCUUGUCAUGAGUAAGCUUAGGACCUUGGGCAAGUCAUCCAAACUCUUCUGGGCAAGUCAUUCUCCUGCUUGGAUGCCUUGAGGCAGAGAGGCAGUGAGGUGAAGUGGUCAGUGCGUCGACUCUGCCUCUAGCCUGCUGGGGUUUGAAUCCACCUGUGUGAUGUUGUAUGAUAUUGACCUUUCUGGCUCUCAGCAUCCUCUUGUGUGAAAUAGGAGAUUUUAACAGUAUCUAUUUCGUAGGGUUGGUGUUUGAAUGAGUUAACAUAUGUAAAGUGAAUGGUACAGUGCCUGGCUUCCUGGCAAGAUUGCUAUCAGGAUUAAGGCAGGUUAAGCCCUUGGCACACACUAAGAGCUCAAUAAAUGUGAGCUGAUGUUA